UUCUUUGUUUAAUUUUCAGUUGGGCCUUUAUUUUAUUAAAACAGAUGGGCCUUAUUUAAAUACCACUUGGGCCGAUUUUUUUUAAGGAAAAUGUUGGGCCUUAAUUCAAUUAUUUAAUAGAUGGCCCUAUUAUUGUUUAAUUAACUUGGGCUGCCCAUUUUAUAGUGGGCUGCGAAAAUUUUUAAGAAAAAGGGGGAGGUCCUUGAUUUAAUUAUUUUAAAUGGGCUGCCCAUUAUUUAUUAAUUGGACUUAUAGUAAGGUUUGAAUAAUUUUUAUUUAAAGAAUAAUUUGCAUAAUAAUAUUAUUAUUAUUAUUAUGUGCAUAUACGAUUAAGCAUGAGAUGAUUUGUAUAAUAAUAUUAUAUCAUUAUUAUGUGCAUAUUUUAAGUAAUUACUUACCAUAUGCUAAGUAUGCAUUUGCAUCAUGCAAUAAAAGUAUUUAUGAUUUAAUUGGUUUUAUUUAUAAAUCCAAUUAUUUAAGAAAAUUUAGUAAGAAUAUUGUUGGUGUUCUUAACUCAAGAGAAAUAUUUUCAAGUAUUUAAUUAUUUAUUCAUUAAAUUUUGAAAACCCGGCUAAGUGAAUCAUAGAAUUUUACGCACUACACCAUGACUUAAGAUUAGAUUCAAGGAGACCUAUUGAGAAUAGAUUUCUUGUAGGCUUUGAGCAUCAAGGGGAUUAGCACUGCUUUCCCAAGACAGGUUAUGUGAUUAUGAUCUUCAGGCUUUGCCUAUCCAAGUUGAGCAGUUGAUGGAAUGGAAUGAUGUUGAGCGGGUGUUCCUUUAACAUUUCAAGAAAUGUAACCUUGAGUAUACAUCUUCAUAUGUAUAUCUCACACGUUUUCCGCUGCAAAGCACUUUGAUUAGGAUAGCUCUAUGUUAUGAAGUUGUUACACGUGUUAUUGGGUAAACCACCUUAAUCAGUUCUCUUUUAUGUGUAUGUUUUAUAAGUAUCCAAAUGAUCAUAUAUGAUCCUAGCUUUUUAUCUAUGAGUGACAUUUCCAUAUACUUUAAUGUUAAGUAAUUGUCCAUUUCCA